CGGGCGCCGGGCGGGCUGGCCUGCAGCCCAGGGCUGGCGGCGACGAGAGGACUGAGGCGGGGGCGCAGCCGGGCAGGCCUGGGCUUUGGGCUGCUGCCUCAGUUUACCAUUUACAUUAGUAAAAUGGAGGCCUUGUUUUAGGAGUAACCUGCUCUGGUGCCUCCACGGACCACUUUGAAUCUAUCGCCUGCACAAAGUUCUUGCAGCCUCAGUUUCUCCAUUUAUUAUAAAGGAGGCAGGAAGAAGCUAGCUCCGGACCGGUUUGAGAAUUCCAUGUAUCAAAAGACCACUCCAGCCUAAGAAGGGCCUUCUCUUCUUCAGACCUUGGAGCCUUCUCAGGCAUGACCCAGACAAGUAUACCAGACCUGGGGACACCUAGAAGCCUCCACAUGGGUGCAAGAUUUAAGAAGGGGCCAGGUAUGGGGGCACAUACCUUUAGUCCUAGUAUUAGUCCUAGUACUCAGGCAAGCUCUCCCUUUGUUGGAAGCUAGCCUGAUUUACAUAUUGAGUGCCAAGCCUGCCAGGGCUGUAAAAUGAGGUUCCGCAGGAGCCUGGAGAGAGCAUCAGCCUCUCUUUUUCCAGAGGACCCAGGUUCACUUCCUAGCACCCACAUGGCUGCUAACAGCCAUCCAGGAUUCCAGCUCCAGGGACUCAAUCAUUUUCUUAGACAUGCACACUGGCAAAACACCCACACUAAAUAAAUACAUAAAUAGAAUUUUAAAAGAGAUUUAAUAAAACAUAAAGGAAAGUUAACAAGG
rnacentral:lncRNA from 1 species